rfam:Hordeum vulgare subsp. vulgare, WGS project CAJW01000000 data, contig: morex_contig_2551095
GAUAUACUCCCUCCGUCAGAAAAUACUUGUCCUAAAGAUAAAUAAAAUGAUGUAUGUAUAACUAAAAUAAGUCUAGAUACAUUCAUUUCGAAGACAGGUAUUUCCGGACGGGGGGAGUAUGUG